UGCUAGCUUUACAAUAACUUUUUUUCCUUGGCUGGUUUUAUUGAGUGGCUAACAGGGAGUGUUUUAAGAAAACGGUAGUCAAGAACUGGAACACGGGAAGUACUGGUUUCUCUAUCAGUUUGAUGGUAAAGGCGAUUAGGAAUUCAAAUCUCGAAAUUCCAAUUACACGCCUGCAGGCCGGAACCAAACCGUUCGUGCUGCCAUUUCCGGGCGGAUGCCUGAGUAUGUUACAAUGGAGCGCCAGCUCGCCUCCGGCGGAGGUCCCUCCGGAGAGGACCGCGAGCAGAAAGGCUGAGACUCAGUCCUGGUCCUCGAAGAAGCCGGAGCCGCAGAUAUUGGGGCACCCGCGCUGGGCCUGUUGGGCAGGUUGUCCUAGUGGGUCGGAGAGUGCGCCCGGCGCAAGAACAAGAGUCUUGGCUACGGUGUCCGGAUGCCGGUGACGGAGCUGGGAGAGGUGCCUCGCGUGCUGCUACUAAUGGCUCACACCUGCAACAAUUUCUGGAGGCUUGCCCUUAGUAGAUUGGAGCAACAUCACCAGGAGGUGUCUGGAAAUUAUGCACCACUCAUCCCUGUAACAGUCAGUAAACAGUGACUGCCUUAUGCCUGAUAUGGAGGUACAAAAGCCUCACUUACUUGUUGCAAUGUGCCAAGACUGUGGUGUGGUAUAUGCAUUAGAGCUCCUGGAGAUUUCAGGCUGAGGCUACACCAAGCAUGUCAAACUUGCAGCCUGUGGGCCGCAUGCAGCCCACAAUGAAUAUUUUUGCGGCCUAGCCAAUAUCACGGUCUCUGAGUCUCCCCUAUCCUCUUUGUAUGAUACCCUCUUAUAAAUUGGAGAGGAGAGCCAAGAAGCUGCCAAGCUUGUAGCAUGGUGGUGUUUACCUCAGAAAGCAACCACAUGGGAGUGACACAGAAGAAGAUGCAGUUACAACAGCUGGUACAUACUGUUCACCAUCCUGAGAGGAGCAAACCUUUCAAGUGCUGUCUUCUUUUCAUCAAGAAGUGCAUUUCUACUGGUGAAACAGAGAUUAAUCAAUAGAUCAGGAUCAUAAGUUUUGUGAUGACUUCUCAGGGAAGAGACUGCCCAGGGUGUUUGGGGCUGUUCUGUCUGGCUCCCUGCUGCUCCUGGCUCAAUGUAGAACUUUGCAGAUUAAUCUUGGUGCUCCACUGAGAUUUUGUUAUUUUUAUUUUUUCAUUCUCACCAAGGCUAUGUUUUUAUUGAUUUUUCAGAAAGAGGGGGAGGGUGAGAGAGAGAAAAAAACAUCGACGUGAGAGAGAAAGAUUAUUGGUUGUUCCUGUAUGUGCCCCUACCAGACAUCGAACCCACAAUCUAGGUAUGUGCCCUGAUGGGGAAUCGAACCCGCAACAGGCGUACGGGAGGAUGCUCCAACUGAGCCAGCUGACCAGGGUCAGACUUGUUAUUUAUAGCUCUGUUGACUUCUAAACUAUAGGCAAACAAAUAUGCAAUAUACAAAGUACUUUGCUGGUGGGCAACAGAGAACACCCCCCACCCAUCCACCUACCCAAGGAAACGGCCCUUCAUUAGGAAGAGGACUGCUUACACCAAGAGGAAGAAUGAUACCGUAUCUGAGGCAGAAGGUACCCAAAGAAGAUGAAAUCAAGCUAAAAGCCUCCGGGACUCCAGGCGGCCUGGCUUCUCCAGCUGCCGCAGCAGCAGGUUCUCCCUCGCUGUCUCCUUCCGCUCUCUCCCAUCAUUCUCUAGGCUCUUCUCAUUCCUCCAACUGCUCCUCUGCCCCCACGUCUGCACGUGGCUCACUCCACUCCACUGAUGUCAAAUGUUAACCUCUGAGAGACCUUCUCAGAGAAUUCAAUCUAGAUUGCUAAAACAUGCCCACCACAGCCUUCCAUCUGGCUUGAGUUUUCUUUGUGUCACUUAUUCUCAUCACAAGUUUUAUAAAAGUACACCUAAGUUUACUUGUUGAUUAUCUCCCUUGGACACAGAAGCACGAGAGCAGCAACUUUGUCUUGUUCACUGCUGAAUCUCCACACCCGGACACUGGCGUGUGUAGUCGCCUUUCAGUGAAUAAUUGUGUCAUCAAUGAAGGAACAAAUCGUCCCCCUCAACUCACUUGAGAAGGCGAGCUCGCAGCCGCUUUACCUCCCAUCACUAAGUUGCAGUAACUCUGAAUCUGACGUUGAAUCCGUUUUUCCCUUUUGUGUCCCUCCCUCAUCGUGAUCACUGCCAGACUUAAUUGUAUUCGUGUCUACUUCGUUUCCUUCAGCCUCCCCCUGGGGAAUCCCCCUAGAGCCUCAGCCUUUCCCGGGUGUUUCCCCGUGUUCUUUUUUUGCCAGCUUUACUGAGGUUUGAUUGACAAAUAAAAUUUGCAUAUAUUUAGGUUGUACAGCA